GGGUGUUUGGUCUAGUGGUAUGAUUCUUGCUUUGGUUGCAAGAGGUUGUGAGUUCGAUUCUCAUAACACCCC
rfam:Ipomoea nil DNA, scaffold: scaffold2283, cultivar: Tokyo-kokei standard.